rnacentral:rRNA from 1 species
UACGUAGGGGGCAAGCGUUGUCCGGAUUUAUUGGGCGUAAAGAGCGUGUAGGCGGCCAGGUAGGUCAGCUGUGAAAACUCGAGGCUCAACCUCGAGACGCCGGUUGAAACCAUCUGGCUAGAGUCCGGAAGAGGAGAGUGGAAUUCCUGGUGUAGCGGUGGAAUGCGCAGAUAUCAGGAGGAACACCGAUGGCGAAGGCAGGUCUCUGGGCCACUACUGACGCUGAGAAGCGAAAGCAUGGGGAGCGAACAGG